rnacentral:rRNA from 1 species
UACGUAGGGUGCAAGCGUUGUCCGGAAUUAUUGGGCGUAAAGAGCUCGUAGGCGGUUUGUCGCGUCUGCUGUGAAAGACCGGGGCUCAACUCCGGUUCUGCAGUGGGUACGGGCAGACUAGAGUGAUGUAGGGGAGACUGGAAUUCCUGGUGUAGCGGUGAAAUGCGCAGAUAUCAGGAGGAACACCGGUGGCGAAGGCGGUUCUCUGGGCCUUACCUGACGCUGAGGAGCGAAAGCGUGGGGAGCAAACAGG